UUUUGACAUCAUAUGAUGUCAUUAUUAAAGCCUCCACCAAUCAAAUUUCACCAAGCUAUAAUAAGUCAACUUAAAGAGAGUUAAGUGGGCAGAAAUUAAAAAGAAAAAUCUUCAUCCUCUACCUCUCUCAACCUAGCCAAAAUCGUCCCUAACCCCAAACCUCCAUUAAAGCUUUAUCAAGCUUUAUACCCCACACCAUUUCACCUCAAAAUCCCUCACUCUCUUCACAAAAAGUUUUCCUCACUCCUUAAACUCUCUCAAGCCAGCAAAAAGAAAAAGAAAAAACAGAAGAUUUUGCAAGCUUAGGAGUUAGCUCCAACAAGGUUA
rnacentral:misc_RNA from 1 species